AUCUGAAGUCUAAGUUGUUAACGGAUAUGAUGUGGGAAGGUUGAGCUGGUGUUUAUCUGUUCCUAGAGAUGCUAGAAUUCUGGAGAAUUUUAUCUUUGAAAAUCUUUAAAAUUUUACUUGAUGAGUUCCUGUAUGAUGAGAGUUUAAAUUCCUACCACAGCCAUAUAUACAUGCUUGCUAGACUUUGAGCCACACAUUUACUAUUUACUGCUUAUGAGCAUUGAGUGUGGUCAAGCUAUGUAGACCCUUAGGAGCUUGUCAUGUGGUUAAAUCAAGAUUCACUUGCACGUUCACUCACACAUGCUACUUCUAUUCCGGAAGUACCAUCCACAUAUAUCCAUCCAUUUCCAACUCCAGAACCACCCAAAAAUAUUAUACUCCUAAUCCAGGAGAGAAUAAACAAAAAUAUCUUUGUUUUUCCCUGUGAAAUAAAUGCUCAAGUUAUCUUGUUACUACCACUAGCUAUAUUAUCUCAAGAGAUGAGUGCUCUGAAAAAAAAAUAUACGAGGAAAUAAAAAGGGGCAAGUGCUCGGAACCUCGAAAGAAAAGAAAAAGUGAGACGAGAGGUAAAAAUGGACAAGUGUCCGACAGUAGAAUUAGGGGUACAAGAUAUCCACCUGAGAGGAAAGAAAAAGAAAAUAUAGAGCAUCUCAUUCUCUUCAAAAGUUUCAGAAAGCAAGGAAGGUAUGUAUCCCCUCAAAAGAGCAAAAGUAGAAUUAGACUUUCACCAUUGUUAUCACCAUCAUCACUAUAUACCAUUCAUUCGCCACACAUGCACAUCUUGAUUUGACUUAUUGAUUUGUUUCUUUGGAUCCAUGGUUUGACUAUACAAUAAAUGUCUUGUAAGUAUGUAUACUUUAUCUCCCACCUAUGAACUCCAGAUAUUAAAGCCUUAUUAGAGUAGGGUGAGAGAGAAGGCAAUGAGAGAAGGCAUAUACCAUCACUGCCUUCGUAAGGAUCCAGAAAUACCACAAAAGAGAGAUCUGAGAGAGUCAUACAAGGAAUCUCUGAGUUUUAUUUCAAAAUCUAUAAAAACUCUAGAGCUAUAGCUGAUCAAGAAUAAGAGACAUUACACUUGACUAGACUGUUCUAUCUUUUAACUACUCAAGACAGAAGUGACGGUUACAAGUCCCAUGGUGAAAGGUAAAGUAAGUAAGUUUUAAGUCUUGACAGUUUACUCUAACUCAGAGAUAAGACCUU
rnacentral:lncRNA from 1 species